CAGCCGCCGCGGUAAUACGGAGGGUGCAAGCGUUAAUCGGAAUUACUGGGCGUAAAGCGUGCGUAGGCGGUUCGUUAAGUCUGUUGUGAAAGCCCCGGGCUCAACCUGAGAAUGGCAAUGGAUACUGGCGAGCUAGAGUGCGUCAGAGGAUGGUGGAAUUCCCGGUGUAGCGGUGAAAUGCGUAGAGAUCGGGAGGAACAUCAGUGGCGAAGGCGGCCAUCUGGGACAACACUGACGCUGAGGCACGAAAGCGUGGGGAGCAAACAGGAUUAGAUACCCCGUAGUCCCUGUCUCUUAUACA
rnacentral:rRNA from 1 species